UUAUUUAUUUAUUUUUACCAGUGCCAUUAUUACUAUUAUUUGGAAACAUUAUAUAAGCCCACAGUAACAUAAAGUCAUAGCAAAGACUAUUAAAUAAUGCAGAAGCCUUUUUUCUGGGUGCAAUGAGCCUUUGCGCUGUGUGAGGGGGGCGGGGUCAAGAGUCCAGCUGCCUGAAUCCGACAAGACCGUGACCCAGAGACGAAGAAAAAGAUUAAUGACACUGUAUCGGAAUUAUGUCCAAAAGACUGAAGCCACCCGGCGCCCAAGGAAGGAAAAGAAGGAACGAAGAGGAAGAAAAACGUGAAAAAGAUAGAGUGACCUCUGACCCUGAUGUGAGGAGGACAACUCCACCAGUCAAAGUGAAUCCGUUCACACUGGCAACACUGAUGCUAUUGUUGCAUUGGAGUCUGGGAUUAAUAAAAUUGAAGUAAAGAAUAACAAGACGAGUGCUACAGUCACAACGUUUAUUAUGAAAGGUUUUCUGCUCCAUGGUGGAGGUGGUGCUGCUCCUGCACAAAGAAACACUGAUUUAAAAGCCUUUGUGUACUUUCCGUGACCUGGUACAUUCCACUCUUCCCCUCUGUGUCGAGCUAUGUGGAAUGUUCCACUUCCCUUCUCGGAGCUUCUCCCACGCCGAGACAGAAACAGGAAGAGGACGAGGAGCAGCGGGGACAAUAAUGUGGUGCAGGAGGACCUGGCUGACCUGGAGGAGGACGAGGACGAGGACGAGG